GUUUGUGUUGUGUGAAUUGUUAGGGUUAUGCUCUGAUCUGCUUAGGGCUUGAAGAUUUUGAUAUACACCGUCUCUAUCUACGUAUACAGUCUUGGAACACAAAAGAAUGGCUUGAUAAGUCGAAGACCGGGUCAUCAAACCGGAAAAGCGACGAUAUCAAUUGCGGUCGCGCAUCAUCUCGACCCACAGGUGGAUCAAUGGGCUUUGAUGAGCAUCGUGACAAUUGGAAAAGGACAUAUGAUCGAGA